rnacentral:misc_RNA from 1 species
UUAAUUGAUGAGAAGCUUCAAGUUGUUGUUAACUGAUCUUUGCCGCGGGAGAGGAUGAUGUUAGAGUGCGACUUAGAUUCGCAAUGAUUUGCUUCUGUAAGCGAUUUUCUCAUGUAGGAGUAGAAGACUUAAUUGUUUUGAACUUUUUGACAAUAAAAUCACUCACCCUUUUUGCAAAGUGCGAGUAAUACACUGGUUGAGAAAUGAAAACAUUUUGCAGCAAUUCAGCAUCAUAUGUAUACAAUAUGGCAAUACCCAAAAUCAGGAUUUUACAACCUGGCAGAUGGAAAGUCCCAGAUGCAGCUUUUAACAUUUAAUUAUACCCUAUAAAUGAUGCAAAUAAGUCGCAGAUGAAGUCCCACAUGCAUCAGCAUAAUCGCAGAUAAAUGAUCCAUAGUUUUGGACAGCUUUGGGACCGAGUCUUGUUUGCUUCUUUCAGUGACUGCAGCUUCGUCCACUGUUACUUUUGCUGUUGACGUUGUAGUGGUCUGAUGUCGUGAUUUCUGUCAAUUGAUUUUGGUUUUGGGAUAUGAUAAUUUACUGUUUUAAUGUUGGAAUUAAGUUAAAUUUCAUCCUAUUUUGAGUUAUAUAAUUGCUACUUUGCAAAAAUACAUGUUUGAAAUAACUCUCUGAUCAUCCCUUAAUUUAUAAUGUACCAAAUUUCGUAUUCA